rnacentral:lncRNA from 1 species
UCCCAGUGAUAAAAUUGAAAAAACAACAUGUAAUUGAGAUUUCAAUCGAAAUAAUCAAUGUGAAUUAGACCCAUAUCAAAAACUCCAUUGCUAAUAUAUUUAGCAAAGAGACAUGCGUACAGUCCAUAAUUGCUGAAAAAACAUUAAAGAAAAAAAUUGAGAAGGAAAAUGAAUUACUUAUUAUGAACAAAUCACAAUAAGAUAGGAAUACAUACUUUGAGCUUGGAUCUUGUUGAGGCACAUUUUUUAUAAAUACAACUUUAAGCUUGGAUAUAGGCUUGUCAACAUAU